UGUCUUCGGCGUUGCAAGGCGGGUUCUCCUCCAAAUUCCAUGUGCUUGCCGAAUAGUGUCCGGCUUCCUUAUAAAUGUUGCGCUCCUUGGCUUCCACGUCCAAUAAUGGCCCUCUUCCACGUGUCGUAUGAAUGCGAAAAGCCAGGGUAUUUUUACGUUUUACCCCCUAGCUGCGUGAAUAAGUUGCCUAUAAGAGGAGCAAGGAUCUAGAUCCAAAUCACACCAUCCUCCUUCCGCGAGUACUCACCGAAGUGCCUCUGACAAAAAUCCAUUCCAUCAUGGACAGUCGACGCGGCUCCUCCUCUCGCGCUCCCAGCCCUCAGCCCGGAGAUUGGAGGAGAUGUUCAGUCCCGCAUAGCGAGCUAGUGACGCUCCAGGCCGAGGGAUACUGCCGGUGUCAAAACCGACGGAUCUCGGGUAGGGGGUCCCGAACUGUGCGUCUAGGCGGAUGGUAACAAGAGACGAGGGACACGAUGUUUUUACCCGGGUUUGGGCCCUCUCGAUGGAGGUAAAACCCUACGUCCUGCUUGAUUAAUAUUGAUGAUAUGGGUAGUACAAGAGUGGAUCUCCCACGAGAUCAAGGAGGCUAAACCCUAGAAGCUAGCCCAUGGUAUGAUUGUUGUAAUGUAUGUUGUCCUACGGACUAAAGCCUUCCAGUUUAUAUAGACACUGGAGGAGGCUAGGGUUACACAGAGUCGGUUACAAUGGUAGGAGAUCUACAUAUCCGUAUUGCCAAGCUUGCCUUCCACGCCAAGGAAAGUCCCAUCCGGACACGCGACGGAGUCUUCAAUCUUGUAUCUUCGUAGUCUUGGAGUCCGGCGGAUAUUGAUAGUCCGGCUGUCCGGACACCCCCUAGUCCAGGACUCCCUCAGUAGCCCCCGAACCAGGCUUCAAUGACGAUAAGUCCAGCGUGUUUAUAGUCUUCGGCGUUGCAAGGCAGGUUCUCCCUUCAAAUUCCAUGUACCUGCCGAACAGUGUCCGGCUUCAUCUUGAAUACUGUGUUCCUCGGCUUCUACGCCAAAUAAUGGCCCUCUUCCACGCGUCGCACGAAUGCGAAAAGCCAGGGUGUCUUUUGCAUUUCACCCCCUAAUUGUGCGAGUCGCCCGCCUAUAAAAGAGGCAAGAAUCCAGAUCCAAACCACACCGUCUUCCUCCCGCGAAUACUCCAUCG
rnacentral:lncRNA from 1 species